UCAAAAUGGGUUAAUAAUAUUCGGAAUGUACUUAUACCACCUCGAAAAAAGGUCGGAAGCAGUUUUGGCUCGCCCGCUAAUAGGAAACAUAGCUAUACCAGACGAGUCCUUGAGAGUAGACGAGGGAGCGAUUGCCCCCAACCCUCGUAAGCCGUGUGAUGUUCAUUAAUAUUAUGCAAAUUAUCCAUAAUUCUUAAGUACAAAUGCAACUGGUUCCAAAUGCCAUAAAGAUGAUUCCAGAUUUUAGAAAUACUGUAAUUAAAUCAAGAAUAAAACACUUCUCAUUUAUAAAUUUCAAUAAAUAUUCUCUCAAGGGUGAGAUAGAAUUAUGAAAAACUAAGUAUAA